CCUACGGGAGGCAGCAGUGGGGGAUAUUGCACAAUGGGGGGAACCCUGAUGCAGCGACGCCGCGUGGGUGAAGGAGUAUUUCGGUAUGUAAAGCCCUAUCGGCAGGGAAGAAUUUAGACGGUACCUGACUAAGAAGCCCCGGCUAACUACGUGCCAGCAGCCGCGGUAAUACGUAGGGGGCAAGCGUUAUCCGGAUUCACUGGGUGGAAAGGGAGCGUAGACGGCCAGACAAGCCUGGAGUGAAAGCCCGGGGCCCAACCCCGGGACUGCUCUGGGAACUGUCCGGCUGGAGGGCGGGAGGGGCAGGCGGAAUUCCUGGUGUAGCGGUGAAAUGCGUAGAUAUCAGGAGGAACACCGGCGGCGAAGGCGGCCUGCUGGACCGCGACUGACGUUGAGGCUCGAAAGCGUGGGGAGCGAACAGGAUUAGAUACCCUUGUAGUC
rnacentral:rRNA from 1 species